UGACGAGGAGCUUGCUCCUUUGACGUUAGCGGCGGACGGGUGAGUAACACGUGGGUAACCUACCUAUAAGACUGGAAUAACUCCGGGAAACCGGGGCUAAUGCCGGAUAACAUAUCGAACCGCAUGGUUCGAUAGUGAAAGACGGUCUUGCUGUCACUUAUAGAUGGACCCGCGCCGUAUUAGCUAGUUGGUGAGGUAACGGCUCACCAAGGCAACGAUACGUAGCCGACCUGAGAGGGUGAUCGGCCACACUGGAACUGAGACACGGUCCAGACUCCUACGGGAGGCAGCAGUAGGGAAUCUUCCGCAAUGGGCGAAAGCCUGACGGAGCAACGCCGCGUGAGUGAUGAAGGUCUUCGGAUCGUAAAGCUCUGUUGUUAGGGAAGAACAAAUGUGUAAGUAACUAUGCACAUCUUGACGGUACCUAACCAGAAAGCCACGGCUAACUACGUGCCAGCAGCCGCGGUAAUACGUAGGUGGCAAGCGUUAUCCGGAAUUAUUGGGCGUAAAGCGCGCGUAGGCGGUUUUUUAAGUCUGAUGUGAAAGCCCACGGCUCAACCGUGGAGGGUCAUUGGAAACUGGAAAACUUGAGUGCAGAAGAGGAAAGUGGAAUUCCAUGUGUAGCGGUGAAAUGCGCAGAGAUAUGGAGGAACACCAGUGGCGAAGGCGGCUUUCUGGUCUGUAACUGACGCUGAUGUGCGAAAGCGUGGGGAUCAAACAGGAUUAGAUACCCUGGUAGUCCACGCCGUAAACGAUGAGUGCUAAGUGUUAGGGGGUUUCCGCCCCUUAGUGCUGCAGCUAACGCAUUAAGCACUCCGCCUGGG
rnacentral:rRNA from 1 species